rnacentral:rRNA from 1 species
GAUGAACGCUGGCGGCGUGCCUAACACAUGCAAGUCGAACGAGGUAAAUGAGAUGAAGUUUUCGGAUGGAUUCUUAUUUACCGAGUGGCGGACGGGUGAGUAACGCGUGGGUAACCUGCCUCAUACAGGGGGAUAACGAUUGGAAACGAUUGCUAAUACCGCAUAAGCGCACAGUACCACAUGGUGCAGUGUGAAAAACUCCGGUGGUAUGAGAUGGACCCGCGUCUGAUUAGCUGGUUGGUGAGGUAACGGCCCACCAAGGCAACGAUCAGUAGCCGACCUGAGAGGGUGACCGGCCACAUUGGGACUGAGACACGGCCCAG